GAUGAACGCUGGCGGCGUGCCUAAUACAUGCAAGUCGAGCGAACAGACGAGGAGCUUGCUCCUCUGACGUUAGCGGCGGACGGGUGAGUAACACGUGGAUAACCUACCUAUAAGACUGGGAUAACUUCGGGAAACCGGAGCUAAUACCGGAUAAUAUAUUGAACCGCGUGGUUCAAUAGUGAAAGACGGUUUUGCUGUCACUUAUAGAUGGAUCCGCGCCGCAUUAGCUAGUUGGUAAGGUAACGGCUUACCAAGGCAACGAUGCGUAGCCGACCUGAGAGGGUGAGCGGCCACACGGGAAGUGAGACAGGGUCCAUACUCCUACGGGGGGCAGCAGGAGGGAAUCUUCCGCAAGGGGGGAAAGCCUGACGGAGCAACGCCGCGUGAGUGAAGAGGGUCUUCGGAUCGUAAAACUCUUUUAUUGGGAAAAAAAAAAUGUGUAAGAAACUAUGCACGUCUGGACGGUACCUAAGAAGAAAGCCACGGCUAACUACGUG
rnacentral:rRNA from 1 species